GACAGAGGGUGCAACCGUUGCUCGGAUUUACUGGGCGUAAAGCGCAUGUAGGCGGCCCGAUAAGUCGGGUGUGAAAUCCCUGGGCUCAACCUAGGAACUGCAUCCGAAACUGCCGUUCUGGAGUAGUGGAGAGGAAAGCGGAAUUCCGGGUGUAGAGGUGAAAUUCGUAGAUAUCCGGAGGAACACCAGUGGCGAAGGCGGCUUUCUGGACACUAACUGACGCUGAGAUGCGAAAGCGUGGGGAGCAAACAGG
rnacentral:rRNA from 1 species